rnacentral:lncRNA from 1 species
AGCAGCAGUGAGAGCCGAGCUGUGGCAGACACAUGCUCUUCCCCUGACUCACGGCUGCCCAGUUCCCUCCAGCGAGGCUGCUGACCUAUUUUUCUAUUAGGAACAACCAGCCAAUGUGAUAAUGAGGAAAAUGUAUUCUGGCCCCUAUGAAGUUUAGUGAAGCCCGAAUGAAGUGGAGGAGGCCACGGAGAUGCACGAGGAAGAGCAUUCCAGGCAGAGGGAACAGCGAGGACAAAAGCCCCCGGGCAGGAAUGGGUGUGCAAGCCUGAGAUCCAACAUGGCGGAGAGCAAGCCGGAAGUGCUGCGCGGGGAUCCUAAGGGAGCACUGAACAGGACAAGCUCAGUUUUGUCCCUCAAACCUCCACAAUCAGAUGUUUCAGUGUCUUCCAGCCCCCUCGUUUCUGAUGAGAAGUUAGCAGCCAUUCCAGGCUUUUCCUUCUGUUGUCUGGCACUGGUGGGUUCUUGGUCUCAUUGACUUCAAGAAUGAAGCCGUGGACCCUUGCGCUAUUUUACAUAAGGAAAGUGGGUGGUGAUUAACCUCAGAGUCUCCAGGGACAGACUAUCCAGGACUGUGCCUGAAAUAGAAGAGGAAUUAACAUCAUACAGAACUGAAUACGGUGACUGAGGGGAGUUUGUGUCUCCCCUUUUAGGAAAGAAGAUGAGAAUAAGUAUGAAGGAGAGUCAUGUACUGUACAUUAAGCAAAAGCAUGAUGCUGUUAUUUGAAAUGUUAAUUAGAGGUGCCCACUAAAAACUGC